rnacentral:rRNA from 1 species
UACGGAAGGUGCAAGCGUUAAUCGGAAUUACUGGGCGUAAAGCGCGCGUAGGCGGCUUCGUAAGUCGGGUGUGAAAGCCCCGGGCUCAACCUGGGAACUGCGCUCGAUACUGCGGAGCUCGAGUACGAGAGAGGGGGGUGGAAUUCCAGGUGUAGCGGUGAAAUGCGUAGAGAUCUGGAGGAACACCAGUGGCGAAGGCGACUACCUGGCCUGUUCUUGACGCUGAGGCGCGAAAGCUAGGGGAGCAAACGGG